UUGCCAACUGCAGAGCCGCGCU
rnacentral:miRNA from 1 species